rnacentral:rRNA from 1 species
CCUACGUGUGGCAGCAGUGGGGAAUAUUGGGCAAUGGGCGCAAGCCUGACCCAGCAACGCCGCGUGAAGGAAGAAGGCUUUCGGGUUGUAAACUUCUUUUCUCAGGGACGCAGCAAGUGACGGUACCUGAGGAAUAAGCCACGGCUAACUACGUGCCAGCAGCCGCGGUAAUACGUAGGUGGCAAGCGUUAUCCGGAUUUACUGGGUGUAAAGGGCGUGUAGGCGGGAAAGCAAGUCAGAUGUGAAAACCAUGGGCUCAACCUGUGGCCUGCAUUUGAAACUGUUUUUCUUGAGUGCUGGAGAGGCAAUCGGAAUGCCGGGUGUAGCGGUGAAAUGCGUAGAUAUACGGAGGAACACCAGUGGCGAAGGCGGAUUGCUGGACAGUAACUGACGCUGAGGCGCGAAAGCGUGGGGAGCAAACAGGAUUAGAUACCCGAGUAGUC